UUUCAGAUUCUAUAGAUGAUGAAUAUUAAUCAACUGAGCUAUGCAGAUUAAAGGAAUAUUAACCUUUGUGUUUGUAACUAAACUAAACCAAAAUCACCCAAUAUUAAUCUUUGGAAUUUUAUCAAACAUUGUUCUUGAAAGCUAGUAAAGGUCUAAAGAAAAGGAAAAUAUUUCACAAAAAGACAAUAUAAAAAACUCCCGGGUUUACACAGCAUUUUACUCUAUCUUAUCUGAUGACAACACCCUCACAAAGAGUUCUAAGGCUAGACAAACAUGUGUGAUUACUGCUCAUACAACAAUUAAAAAGUUUUUAUUUGUAUUCUUAAUAUUUAAUAUUUAAAAUCUUUAAACUAAAUUGUUAUUAAUUUUAUUUAACAACCCACUAAUGUUUCUAAUAUUAAAGUUAUAUCUAAA